CCUUGAUGGCGACCGGCGCACGGGUGAGUAACGCGUAUGCAACCUGCCCGAUACCGGGGUAUAGCCCAUGGAAACGUGGAUUAACACCCCAUAGUACUUUUAUCCUGCCUGGGAUGGGAGUUAAAUGUUCAAGGUAUCGGAUGGGCAUGCGUCCUAUUAGUUAGUUGGCGGGGUAACAGCCCACCAAGACGAUGAUAGGUAGGGGUUCUGAGAGGAAGGUCCCCCACAUUGGAACUGAGACACGGUCCAA
rnacentral:rRNA from 1 species